ensembl:lncRNA
CUCAAUAGCUGGGGCACAGCAUAUGGAGAGGACGGCUACGUCAAGAUUGCCAGAAACAAGAAGAACUUAUGUGGCAUUACCCUUUAUGCAUGUUUCCCAGUCAUGUGACUGUAUUUGAGAUGCUGUUUUAAAUAUACUAUUUGAUUAUGUAGUUAUGUUUAUCUAUUUUCACGUCUAAAAAGGAGAGUGCAAAUUCACUGCAGAUGUAGUUUUAAUUUUAUUUCCAUAUGGUUUAUAGUUUUUCUCAUAGAAUUGGAUAAAUGGCACCAAGUGCAAACCCCAGCAUAAUGAACAACUCACAUAAAAUAAUACAGCACCUUUUCAGCAUCACUAAAAUAAAGUCAAUAUCAAGUAAUAAAUACUGAAAGUACCAAGAAGUUCAGUUUUCAUUUACAAAACACAAAGACAAUACACAAUAGAUUUGUGCCAUAUUGAGCUAUUUUUGGAAGUGUUUUUCCUUUAUCUUUUGUUCCACAAAUGCCAAACUUCACAUACAUCUAGAGUUUCUACACACGGUACACGGAGUCUGAAGAGUUUGAAGAAACAGGUUCCAGUCAAACUAAAGGAAACGCAGUCGGACACUCUGUCCAACAACAGGAAGGAUCCACAUUUGAAGCUUUUAUUUUGAAGGAUUUAUGUGGGAUGGGGAGCAGCUCCCCGCCCUUACAGUCCCAUGUUAAGCAAUGCCACAGGAAAUCCUCUGCAGGCGGUGUUUGCUUAUUUCACUCAUUGUUACAGGGGAAAAAUGAAAACCAUUUACCAUUUGAUAGCCUAUACAUAUAUUUAUAUAUAAUUAAACUUUACACAUAGUCACAUUUAAUAGUAAAUUUACAUUUUGGACGAGAGCUUCAAUUCGACUGAGGCGUUCUUUUGAUGAGUUCAAAUCUGUCAUUUGACUUUCACUUGUAGCUUAAAAGGGAAAGUUUGACUUUAUUACUAUAACUUCCCCUUUUGGCCAAUGCAUGUUGCAUUUUGUACUGUGUCUCCUUUACUAAGAGACAAAUUGCACAUUUUAAAUUCUCCUUAUAUAACUUCAAGCAAAUAUAUAUAUGUAUAUAUAUAUAUUUAUA